rnacentral:lncRNA from 1 species
CGAAGAGCCUGGCAGUGGGACUUGUCCCUGCCCUGCCACAUGGAAGGACGGGGUCAUUCUGGGGGCCUCGUUCCCAUGCCUGCUCCUCGCUCCAUCUUUCCCCUCUUCUCUCUUCCUGUUUCUGCUUCUUUGGCUCUGCUUUCUCUUGGUUUUGGUGGAGAGUUGAGCUCAUUUCACACAUGUGAUCACUUGAUGUAGUGCAUUCCUAACUUUUCAGGUCUGGGGUGUUAACGACAGCAGGCUCUGUUCUGGCCUUUAGCAGGAGCUGGUGCUCAGAGUGAGAAAUAGGAGCAGCACCUUGGUGUGUGAAGUGAAUGGUGAGAGCUAAGCAUCUUCUUACCUGAGGGGUGGAUGGAGCGGGGACAACAAGGGGUUACUGAUCCCUGGUGCUUGGGGAAGAUCCGAUGAUGACUGUUUCUACAGUGGCUUAAGGCAGCUGGCUCCCUGUGCCCCUCUCUUCACCUUCGGGGAGGAAACGUCAUCACCACAGAGCAUGAAUUUGCCCGUGGAGUCUUUCUUCCCUGCUCAUACCCAUGGCUGUGAGGGACCCCAGCUGACCACAGCUCUGCUGACCCCUGGGCCUGUUCUUCCCAGAAUGCCACCUCUGAGUCUCCCUCAGAUCUGCUCAUAGCCCUUUGCCACCAUCCUCUCGGAUGUCCUCCAGGAGGCUGAGCCAGGAGGAUCGAAAGUUCCAAGACAGCCUGAGCAGCUUAGCAAGACCCCGUUUCAAAACGAAAAAUAAACAUGACAGGGGAUGCAGCGCAGUAGGGUGUGCCCCUGAGUCCCAUCCCCAGUACCAGUCAAAACAAGCAAGUGAACAAGCAAAACCAUUCACUCUUCCCAUUUCCAAUAUGGCCUAGUUCCAUAUACCUGGGCCCUCCUCAUCCAACACCACCAAAGCACACAUGGCCUGGCACUGUCCUGACCCCACACUCCUCCUCAUACCCUGC